AGAGUUUGAUCAUGGCUCAGGACGAACGCUUGCGGCGUGCCUAAGAAAUGCAAGUCGAACGGGGGGCAACCCCAGUGGCGAACGGUCGCGUAACACGUAAGAAACCUGCCUCAAAGUGGGGGACAACGACCCGAAAGGGUCGCUAAUACCGCAUGAGAACGCGGGGCGGCAUCGCCCUGUGUUGAAAGCCUUGUGCGCUUUGAGAUGGUCUUGCGGCCUAUCAGGUAGAUGGUGGGGUAACGGCCUACCAUGCCGACGACGGGUAGCUGGUCUGAGAGGACGAUCAGCCGGAUUGGGACUGAGAUACGGCCCAGACUCCUACGGGGGGCAGCAAUUAGGAAUCUUGCGCAAUGGACGAAAGUCUGACGCAGCGACGCCGCGUGAGGGAUGACGGCAUUCGUGUUGUAAACCUCUUUUGUCGGGGAAGAAACAAAUGACGGUACCCGGCGAAUAAGCCCCGGCUAACUACGUGCCAGCCGCCGCGGUAAUUC
rnacentral:rRNA from 1 species